UGUGCAAGACAGGAGCGUACAGGUUU
rnacentral:piRNA from 2 species